rnacentral:tRNA from 1 species
GAUUUAGUAGCUCAGCUGGUAGAGCACAUCCCUUUUAAGGAUGGGGUCCUGGGUUCGAGCCCCACCUAGAUCA